GACGAACGCUGGCGGCGUGCCUAACACAUGCAAGUCGAGCGGUAAGGCCCUUUCGGGGGUACACGAGCGGCGAACGGGUGAGUAACACGUGGGUGACCUGCCCUCAGCUCUGGGAUAAGCCUGGGAAACUGGGUCUAAUACUGGAUAUGACUCCACGGUGCAUGUCGUGGGGUGGAAAGCCUUGUGCGGCUGAGGAUGGGCCCGCGGCCUAUCAGCUUGUUGGUGGGGUGANGGCCUACCAAGGCGACGACGGGUAGCCGGCCUGAGAGGGCGACCGGCCACACUGGGACUGAGACACGGCCCAGACUCCUACGGGAGGCAGCAGUGGGGAAUCUUGCGCAAUGGGCGAAAGCCUGACGCAGCGACGCCGCGUGAGGGAUGACGGCCUGGUUGUAA
rnacentral:rRNA from 1 species